AUACGGAGGGGGCUAGCGUUGUUCGGAAUUACUGGGCGUAAAGCGCGCGUAGGCGGUUUAUCAAGUUAGGCGUGAAAGGCCUGGGCUCAACCCGGGAAUUGCGCUUAAUACUGGUAGACUUGAGUCCGGGAGAGGGUGGCGGAAUUCCCAGUGUAGAGGUGAAAUUCGUAGAUAUUGGGAAGAACACCAGUGGCGAAGGCGGCCACCUGGCCCGGUACUGACGCUGAGGUGCGAAAGCGUGGGGAGCAAACAGGAUUAGAUACCCCGGUAGUCC
rnacentral:rRNA from 1 species